AUUAGUGGCAAACGGGUGAGGAAUAUAGAGGAAUCUACCCAGCAGUAAGGAAUAACUUUGGGAAACCAAAGCUAAUGCCAUAUAUCACCGAUUUAUCGGGAAAGAUUUAUCGCUGUUGGAUGAGCCUCUAUCGGAUUAGCUAGUUGGUGGGGUAAAGGCCUACCAAGGCGAUGAUCCGUAGCUGGUCUUAGAGGAUGAUCAGCCACACUGGAACUUAGACACGGUCCAGACUCC
rnacentral:rRNA from 1 species